rnacentral:rRNA from 1 species
GUGUCAGCAGCCGCGGUAAUACGGAGGGUGCGAGCGUUGUUCGGAAUCACUGGGCGUAAAGCGCGUGUAGGCGGCCUUGUAAGUUUGGUGUGAAAGCCCGGGGCUUACCCCCGGAAGUGCACUGGAUACUGCAAGGCUAGAGUACCGGAGAGGAAAGUGGAAUUCCUGGUGUAGCGGUGAAAUGCGUAGAUAUCAGGAGGAACACCGGUGGCGAAGGCGGCUUUCUGGACGGAUACUGACGCUGAGACGCGAAAGCGUGGGGAGCAAACAGGAUUAGGUACCCUGGUAGUCC